CAGGCGGACUCUCAACCACUGCGCCACCAGGGAAGCCCCAAGAUGGCCUCUUUGUUGUCCUCGGGGACCUCCAUCCUCUCUCUUGGCUCUACCAUCAUCACAGAACACCUUGGGCUGCCCCCAUGCCAAACCCUCUCCAGCCGAUGCCUGCCCUGGGCAUGCUGCCGUCUCUGCUUCUUACCACCCACUUGAGGCCCUGCCCACGCGGUGCUGAUGCGGCUCCUGUGGUGUCCUCAGUAUUCUGAGCUGUCCUCCCACCGAGGUGCUGAACACACAUUUGGUGAACCAACGGACAACGAAUGAA